UGGCUCAAAGUGCAUGGGCUAUUUGCCCAGCGUGCGACUAAUAAGAAUUUGGCGUGCAGGCGGUCUAGCAAGUUGGAUGUGAAAGCUCCCGGCUUAACUGGGAGAGGUCGUUCAAUACUGUCAGACUAGAGAAUGGGAGAGGGAGGUGGAAUUCCGGGUGUAGUGGUGAAAUGCGUAGAUAUCCGGAGGAACACCAGUGGCGAAAGCGGCCUCCUAGACCAUUUCUGACGCUAAGACGCGAAAGCUAGGGUAGCAAACGGGAUUAGAGACCCCGGUAGUCCUAGCCGUAAACGAUGUAGACUUGGCGUUGGCGGAGUUAAAUCUGCCAGUGCCGUAGCUAACGCGAUAAGUCUACCGCCUGGGGACUACGAUCGCAAGAUUAAAACUCAAAGGAAUUGACGGGGACCCGCACAAGCAGCGGAGCGUGUGGUUUAAUUCGAUGCUACACGAAGAACCUUACCAGGGUUUGACAUGUAAGUGGUAGUGAUCCGAAAGGUGAACGACCCCUCGGGGAGCUUACACAGGUGCUGCAUGGCUGUCGUCAGCUCGUGUCGUGAGAUGUUCGGUUAAGUCCGCUAACGAGCGCAACCCUCACUGUGUGUUACAAGUGUCACACGGGACUGCCGGUUUUAAGCCGGAGGAAGGCGAGGAUGACGUCAAGUCAGCAUGGCCUUUAUGUCCUGGGCUACACACACGCUACAAUGGUCGGUACAAUAGGUUGCCAAGCCGCAAGGCGGAGCCAAUCCCUAAA
rnacentral:rRNA from 1 species